rnacentral:rRNA from 1 species
GGGUGCGAUCAUACCAGCACUAAUGCACCGGAUCCCAUCAGAACUCCGCAGUUAAGCGUGCUUGGGCGAGAGUAGUACUAGGAUGGGUGACCUCCAGGGAAGUCCUCGUAUUGCACCCC